UCUAGAGCCACCUGUCGGCGGGACUUUGACUUGUGCCUCGUCCUUCGUCCCGCUCGCACACCGCGGAGGCGCGCAGUGUUACUACUACUUCUCUUUCCCGGAAAAGAUUCGCUUACCCAGGACCUGACAGUCAACUUUGGGAACUCCGUACUAACGCCCACUUCGACCGCUAAGAACCUCGGCGUCACACUCGACAGCCAACUCUCCCUGACUCCCAACAUUGCCGCGACAACGCGAUCCUGUAGAUACACGCUCUACAACAUCAGGAGAAUACGUCCCCUUCUCACUCAGAAGGCAGCGCAGGUGUCGUGAUGCCUCAGAACGUUAUGAACCGUGACGGUGGACGAGGAGGAACUCGCCACAGCACCUGUAGAGCCUCCGGUCGGGGCCCGGGUCUGGUUCGUGGAGGCGCUGCUCUCAAUGGCGUGCUGGCCGCUCCUCCUCAGAGCACGGCUCGGUUCACCCAGGGGAACGGCGCCCAGCCACCGCGUGUGGUUGAGGGUGACGUUAACCAUUGGUACAAGAGCAAGAAGGCAGCGCCCCCGAGGACACUGAAGAAACGGGGAGGCCCCGCCUCCCCUGUCACUCAUGCCUCAGCGGCUGGCAGGGUCUGUAGUGCGGGCAGCCUCGCUGGUGUGUCGGGGAAGGGGGCCGCCAGUCUAGACGACGCCGCCGCCGCCUCGCCUGUUGACUGUCAACAAAUGGCGCCACGAGUCAUCCUGUCCAAGAACCAGAGAAGAAGAAACCGGAAAGCCUGUCCAGAGAACCAUACACUCUCAGGAAUACCACCCCCACCACCACCGGAGGAGGAGGAGGAGGACUGGGAAAAGGAGAGCCAAGAGGUCACGCUGAUUGACUGGGAAAAUAACUGUUUUGGCAUCAAUCCCUACGGUCCACAGGAUGUGAUCCAUUUUUCCUUGCGGUAUUCACCCUUCCAGCGAAGGCACGAAGUCGUCCCACUAUUGAUGGCUGGUUACAGCCCGGAGGUGCACCACCCGCAGCCCGUCCGUUGGAGGCACUACGGCACCCCCACCGAGCAAGGGCAGUUUGCAGACGCUGACCACUAGGCCAGGCGUGUGCGGCUGUGUGACCGGGUCGGUAGAAAAAGUUCUGGAGUUUUCUUAUUGGUUAGAAUCACUGCAACAGCUUCAGUCCAAUAAUAAUAAUAAUAAUUGCGUUCAGUUGUUUUAUUUAUUUUUUGUUUUAUAUCUAUAUUUUAUAUUUAGGUUAAAUGGUAAGCUAUUCAUUUUUUUAUCUUAAGGAAUGAUUUUAGAUGAUCUGCUAUACUUUGCUGUUGUACCGCAUACAUUUACGGUUCUUUCCAUGUCUUCAUAACUUUGGCUAGAAUUCCAGGAAACUGAAGGAAUACCCUUUUAUUGUCAUGUUUACCCUUUGUUUUAAAAUGCCUCUAGUAGGAACAAUGUUGUCAUAGUUCAUUAUCAAUGUUUGUUCAUCAGAUUUGUGAGUAGAUGAAGAAACGAUUUUGAUUUGGGGUCACCCAACUCGACCACGAAAUUUGGUUUGGAUGCUGUAUCAACAAGUUGUGAUCUGACCUUUCACAGUUGCAAUAAAUCCAAUUUUCUUCACUAAA
ensembl:lncRNA